rnacentral:lncRNA from 1 species
UCCCAUUCAGUUUGGGAAACUGGAAACACCUGCAGGUCCUGCGUGCAGGACUGAACGCCCUGUAAUAGUGGUUCCCUCUGUGAACAUCUCUGCUCACAUCUGUGAAGCACACAUGCAACACUCACUUGAGCCGUGCUUGGCAUUUCUGAAAUGGCUGCUUUCCCCCUGCUUAGACAGGGCUCUAGAAGGAGAGAGUCCUGUACUUAUUUUUUUUUUUUUUAACUUCUAGUGUUUUACAGAGAGCUUUGUUUUUCUUCAGAGUGUUAUUUUUCUUCUUUGUUUUCCUUUUUCAGAUAAGUGCUCACUGUGUUGCCCAAGCUAGCCCCUGGGUUCAAGUGACCCACCCAACUCAACUUGGGACAAUGGCAAGGUGCCCAGGUAAAAAGAUUUCUCUCUCUCUCUCUCUUCCUCCCUCCCUCUUUCCCCCUCUCUUCCCCUCUCUUUCCCUAUCUCCCUAUCCGCUCUCUUUUUCUGUUUUCUUUUUCCAGACAGAGUUUCUCUGUGUACCAGCCCUGGCUGUCCUGGAACCUGCUUUAUAGUCUAGACGGGCCUCAAACUCAGAGAGAUCUGCCUGCCUCUGCCUCCCAAAUGCUGGGACAAGGGUAUGUGCCAUCACGCCCAGCCCUGAAAUGAGGAACACACUUGUUUUAAUAAAAAUGAGCAAGUAUGGAGGCCCACGCCUUUAAUCCCAGCACUCAGAAGGCAGAGACAGGUGAAUAUCCAUGAGUAAUUCUAGCAUUUGUGAGGUACAGGCCUCAUGUUGGCAGAUCCAGACAGGCUGGGACUCUGGCCUGUGGAUUCCCUCACCAAGUAGGGCAUCUACCAUAGGACAGGUGACUGAAGGGGUCACGGCAGGUAGAGUCAGGCUAGGAGUGGAUCUGGCUGCCUUCCUCAGGAACCUGUUGUGACUUGUUGGAGCCAGUGGUGCCUGCAGAAUUCUCUCUCUCUUCACUGGCCCCCAAUCCUGCUCGGAUGGGGAGUUCACUCCCUCAGAAGGUAGACAGGCCGCACUGACCCGAUGCUAUUUGUCAUGAAUUCCUUUUCUAUGUUUACUUCAGCCACAUUUAAAGUGCUGGGGAAACAAAGCAAGACAAACAAACAAACAAGCAAGCCCCCCAGGGCUGGCGAGAUGGCUCAUUGGUUAAGACCAUGGCUGUCCUUCUAUAGGAUCCAAGUUCCAUUCCUGAUACCUACAUGGCAGCUCUAGUUCCAGGGGACCUGGUACCCUCUUCUGACUUUCACAUGCACUUGACAUACAUGCAGGCAAAACACUCAUUCAUACACAUCAAGUAAAAUUUAAAUGAAAGAAAGCCUCUCAGCUCAUAGUCUUUUAAAGCCUCGCUAGAUAUUUUCAAUCGAUUCUACUUAAUACCUUUUUGCUGAGAUCAUACAGGUGAAGAAUGAAAGAAAACUAAACAUGGUUUCUAAUUUUAAUUCCUAGGCUGGGAUCCCCGGCAAGGGAGCAAGCUGGAGUUCCUAGUGUAGAGAGGGGCAGCAACAUACAUAGAGACCAUAGCAAGCCGCUACUUCAUGGAGUCCUGGAUGUGUCAGGCCCCUUGGGGACACCCUGUGAAGAGCGCCACCAUCACUAGGUGUUCCACAGAGAGAGAAAGGAAGGCCUGGAGAGGUCACGUGACAUGCCCACGGUGACUCAGCUGCAGACAGGGAUGGGGAUUUGAAUCUGUUGUACCCCCCCUAGAUUUGCAAUUCCGUGUCCCAUAAGUCCUCCUCAAGGGAACAUACAGGCGUCACCAAAAAUUACUACUGCAUCUGAGAGGAUGUGGGAUCGGGGUAGAGCCCAGGGUUUUACACAUGCUCAGCAACUGCUCCAUCCGUGAUCUACAUCUGGGCCAGGGACUCGGAAAAAAAAACUAAUGGGCAGCGCCUCAUCGCCUAAGAACCGAAACCUCAGGAGAGGCCAAAGCAUCCUAAAGCCACUGAACAGAGAAUGGAGCCACUGAACGGAGAAGCUCCUGAGAACAGGUGGGGUGCAUCCUAAAGCCACUGAAUGGAGACGCUCCCGAGAGCAGGCGGGGUGCAUCCUAAAGCCACAGACUGAGGAGCUCGAGAGCAGGCCGGGCUAAGUCAGUCACAUUUACAUUACACGUGGCACAGAGGACAGCAUGGCAGGUAACCAGGAGGGAACUAGGGAGACACUGCGGGAGGAGGAGGCACUGGAUGCUAAAUCUCCAGUCCAGCGGGGAGCAGGGGCAGGUGUUCUGCUUGGCUCUGGCCGUGCAGCCCGCGCCUACUAGGUCAUCUGCUGACGUCACCAGGAAGUGGACACGGUGCUGAAAUACUUGACAUUUGAGGUUUGGGGAUUUGAGGCAGGAUGAAUAGAGGUACGGCUAUUGGCUCCUUCCUUGGGGAAGACCCUGAGUUGGGCUAUUUAUUUAUUUAUUUUAGCGACAAGGCCUAUGUUGUCCAGGCUGGCUCUGAAUUUUGCCUCUGCAAUUGUCAAGUAGUUGGCACCGUAACAGGUGCCACUGCACCAGCUGCCACAUUGCCACUGGGAAGGUUGGUGUUGUCAUCUUGACACCCUCUAGAACAGCAGUUCACCACCUGUGGGUCAUGACCCCUUCCAGGGGGGACUAACAACCCUUUCACUGGGUCACCUAAGACUGUCUGAAAACACAAAUAUUUACAUUACUGCUAAACUAUUUCUUCGCCGGUAAAAAUGAACCAACUCAAGACAGAUUAGAAUAUAUUAAAUGCAGGUUUAUUGGGAAGCUGCUCUCGGGUGGGUGAGUUCACUGGCCCCAAGGAAGGAAGCCAGGGUCACCAUGGGAAGGUAGAGAGAGAAACAGAGACAGAGAGGGAGGAGAGAGGGAGAAAGGGAGAGAAAGAGAAAAAUGGAAAGAGGGAGAGAAAGAAGGAGAGGGGGGAGAAGAAAAAGAAAAGAAGUGAGGAUUUGAAGGGAGAAGGAGACCAAAAUGAUUUCUGGCUUAUAUAUUGAAGAGCCUCUGGGAGAAGAGCAGCCCAGCCUCUGGGCUGCAAAUUCAGGGUAUGGGGGCAGAGUGUGCUAGGUAGGGACCAAGGGAUUCUGAGAGAUCCUGGAGGCCAGGUCUGCUUUAAUGUUAAAAUAUGCACCUCAGUUUCUUGUCCCGGGUCUGAAACCAAACAGUUAUGAUUCACAAUAUUAGCAAAAUUACAGUUUUGAAGUAGCAACAAAAAUGACUUUUAUGGUUGGGGGUCACCACAACUGCAUUAAAGGGUCGCGUCAUUAGGAAGGUUGACAACCACUGUUCUAGAAUCACCAGGGAGACACGCCUCCAGGUGCAUGUGCAAGGGAUUAUUUAGCCUGUCAUUAGACCGAGGUGUGGAGACCCAGCCUGAAAGUGAGCUUGGGUCCUGGAUUGAGUAAGGGAGAAAACGUGCUGAACAUAAACAUCCCUCAUCAGCUGCAUCCCUCAUCAUCAGCUGCAUCCCUCAUCAGCUGCAUCCCUCAUCAGCUGCAUCCCUCAUCAGCUGCAUCCCUCAUCAUGUGGCUGUGGUGUGCCUACCUGAUUCUGGCUUCUGCUCUGUCAGACCAGUCCCUGAACUGUGAGCUCAUGUAAAUUCUUUCUUUGUUGAUUUUCCUUUGUCGUGGUACUUUAAACAAGCACUGAUUGAUUACUAUUAACUAUUGUGAAUUGUAUAUUGAACUGUGGUCUGAAUUAAAUCCUUUCUUCAUUGAUUUUCCUUUGUCAGGGUACUUCAAAUAAGUAUUAGUACUUAUUAUCAUCAUUGUUAUUAUUGUUAUCAUUAUUAUUUGUUAUUAUUAAUUGUUAUUAUUAUUGUUGUUGUUGUUGUGUGAGAGAGGUGUGUGGGAUGUGCACUUGUGUGUAUCUUAUUACUGCAAUGGAAAUAGAAACUAAGACAGAAAAUUGAUCCAGAGAGGUGAGCUCACGCUGUGAUGAGCCAGCCUGAGCCUGUGUGGAUCUUAAGCCUCUGGAAUUGUUUGUGGAGGGAAUGUGGAACCAUCUGAAAGUUCAGGCUAAUAAAGACCUCGCACAGAGGAAGCAGAACUUCUGGGUGAUUCUUGUGGGAUCUUGGAAGACUAGAAUGACAACAGAAAUCCUGGCCAUUGAGGCCUGGCUCAUGAGGUUUCUGAGGGUCAAAGACUAACAGGUGCUGGGCUGAGGAUCCAGUUAUAUUUGGCCCAGAAUCUGGUGUCAGUUUACCUGUUUCCCGAGAACUUGAAUAAAAUUGAAUUUAAAGAUGGACCAAUAUGUUUGACAGAGAAACUCAAGGCAGGAGAGUUCUCAGGCUGGUGCAGAGAUAGCAGCUAUAAUCGCUAGAGGUCAGAACUACUGAAGAGCAACCUUCUCGGUACUGCAUGGGACAAUAUGGAAGGUGUCCUGAGGGCAGUUCCCCAAACUCCAAAAGGCAGCGGGUAUAUCCAGCAAUGAGCUCAGGCUGGACUACAGAGCUUCUGGCAUUUAGAUAAAAGCCAGAAUUCCUCAGGAACUUGUGGGACCAGUUCCCACCGGCCACUAGGAGCCAUUGCCCUUACUUCGGACACAUGGCUGGCUACCUGUGGUGCUGAUCACAUCAAAGUCCAUGCUGGCCCCAGGCUCCCUCAGUCUCACAAGUACAGGUUAACAUGUUUCAAAGUCUACACUAGCUAUGAUGUAGCAUUGUGUAGUGUAUCUUCCCAGCCCUUCUCAUGCCCCCUCCUGUCCCCUAAACUCCCUCCCGCUCAUAGGCUUCUCUACGCUCAGCUACUCAUUCUUAUAGCCAGGCUAUUCUUACUAUAGUCUCCCGCUCGCUCUCCCCUUAUUCUCUCUUGCUAUGCCCCGUUCUCUCUUGCUCUCUUCACUAUUGUUUCUUGUUUCCCUAGCCCUGGCCAUGUCCAGUCUGCUGGCUGUGUUAAGUCAUUCUCUGCUCUGGAUUCUCCAGUUGCCUUUGGCUAUUUCCCUUCUUUUAUCUACAGUAAAAACCUUAACCUUAAUCAUGGAGGGGUCUGUGCCCAACUUGAAUACAAAAGGUACAAGAUCAGGGAAGCCAUGGAAUCUUGCUCCAUCAUUACAGAGAGCAGCUGUGGCCAGGAGACGUGUAGCAGAGUCCAGGUCCCUGCUAGUCAGCUGUGAAAUUGUGAAGGUGAUGCCUAAGUUGCUAUGGAGAUCACAGAAUAUUGGAGAUGCCAGAACUGUGGACUUUCCACUGAGGAAAGCUAGAUGCAGAGUUGGGCUGACUCAAGAGAGAAUUCUAUGCUACAGGCAUCAGAUAUGGAGGGAUGGAGGGCUACCCAGCCCCUUAGGAGCUCAGCUGAUUUGAUUAGGAGCCCCAAGUCCCAGACACAAACCCAUAGAAUGAGAGUUUAUUGUUUGGGUCUUUCUUUGUUCUGAUCAUUCCUUGAUUUUCCCUGGGUCUUCUCUUUUGGAAUAGGAAUAUUAAUUCUGUGCCAUCAUGUAUUAGAAGUAUGUAACUGCAGGGUCUGGCAUAGACUUGGUAGGGGUAGUAUAACAUGGCUCCCAACCCUGGGACAGGGCAUGGGCCUCCACGAGCGUCGAUGGCUGCUGUGGGUAUAAGGCUUGCUGUGGGCAUAAGGCUUGCUUGUAUAAUAGUGUACAUAUUUUACAUUCUUCCUUCAAGGAAUGUCCUCCCUGUUAACGUUAAGGACUCCAUGAUAAUCAGAGACAGCAUGAGUGUGGAUAAUGUUUUAGCAAAAUGGUAAACACUGAGACCUUUAGGACAGCCCUUAAGGCUGUGGAAAAGAGCUCUAAAAACAUGAGUUCAAAAAUAUAUAAUUUCUUAACUAUGUAAAACAUAAGGCUGUAAUAUAAAUUGUAUGAGGAGUUUCAUGGAGCUAAAGGAACAGAGGCAGCUGCACUGUGAACCAUGUUGUCAGAAAGAUACCGAGGAAGGAGAUAAAGAGAUUUAGGGAGUGAUGGUCCCAGGAGAUCCCACCUAGCUAAGUUUUUUAUGCUUACAAAGGCAGGCAGAUUCUUGAGUUCAAGGUUGACCCGGGACAGAG